UUCGAGAGUAGAAGCGUUCAGCGCAAUCGUCCGGCAGCUGCCGGUGCGGUUGGCGGGUCAUUGCUCUUGAA
rnacentral:ncRNA from 1 species